CCGCCUGGGGAGUACGAUCGCAAGAUUAAAACUCAAAGGAAUUGACGGGGCCCCGCACAAGCAGCGGAGCAUGCGGAUUAAUUCGACGCAACGCGAAGAACCUUACCAAGGCUUGACAUAUACAGGAAUACGGCAGAGAUGUCGUAGCCGCAAGGUGGGAAUAUAGGUGGUGCAUGGUUGUCGUCAGCUUGUGUCGUGAGAUGUUGGGUUAAGUCCCGCAACGAGCGCAACCCUCAACCCUUGUUGCCAGCAUUUAGUUGGGGACUCACAGGAGACUGCCGGGGUUAACUCGGAGGAAGGUGGGGAGGACGUCAAAUCAUCAUGCCCCCUAUGUGGUGGGGUGCACGCAUGUUACAAUGGCUGGUACAAACGGGUGCAAUACCGCAAGGUGGAGAGAAUCCGAGAAAGCCAGUCUCAGUUCGGAUUGGGGUGUGCAACUCGACCCCAUGAAGUCGGAAAGCUAGUAAUCGUAGAUCAGCAACGCUACGGGGAAUACGUUCCCGGGGUUUGUACACACCGCCCGUCACGUCCAGAAAGUCGGUAACACCCAAAGUCAGUGGCCCAACCGUAAGG
rnacentral:rRNA from 1 species